AGUCGAGCGGACAGAUGGGAGCUUGCUCCCUGAUGUUAGCGGCGGACGGGUGAGUAACACGUGGGUAACCUGCCUGUAAGACUGGGAUAACUCCGGGAAACCGGGGCUAAUACCGGAUGGUUGUCUGAACCGCAUGGUUCAGACAUAAAAGGUGGCUUCGGCUACCACUUACAGAUGGACCCGCGGCGCAUUAGCUAGUUGGUGAGGUAACGGCUCACCAAGGCGACGAUGCGUAGCCGACCUGAGAGGGUGAUCGGCCACACUGGGACUGAGACACGGCCCAGACUCCUACGGGAGGCAGCAGUAGGGAAUCUUCCGCAAUGGACGAAAGUCUGACGGAGCAACGCCGCGUGAGUGAUGAAGGUUUUCGGAUCGUAAAGCUCUGUUGUUAGGGAAGAACAAGUGCCGUUCAAAUAGGGCGGCACCUUGACGGUACCUAACCAGAAAGCCACGGCUAACUACGUGCCAGCAGCCGCGGUAAUACGUAGGUGGCAAGCGUUGUCCGGAAUUAUUGGGCGUAAAGGGCUCGCAGGCGGUUUCUUAAGUCUGAUGUGAAAGCCCCCGGCUCAACCGGGGAGGGUCAUUGGAAACUGGGGAACUUGAGUGCAGAAGAGGAGAGUGGAAUUCCACGUGUAGCGGUGAAAUGCGUAGAGAUGUGGAGGAACACCAGUGGCGAAGGCGACUCUCUGGUCUGUAACUGACGCUGAGGAGCGAAAGCGUGGGGAGCGAACAGGAUUAGAUACCCUGGUAGUCCACGCCGUAAACGAUGAGUGCUAAGUGUUAGGGGGUUUCCGCCCCUU
rnacentral:rRNA from 2 species